CAGCAGCAACAGCAGCAGCAGCUUCCUUCCUCAGACUCCCCUCGAGAGGCUGACCAAGCUGGUGUAGCCGUUGGGGGAGGCUCCCGCCGGGGGAACCCGGCGAGGACAAGAGCAGGGCGGCCGCCUUCCACUCGGGCUGUCCGGCGGCGGCUGCCUCCGCCCGCGUGUCCGUCAAGGGUGCCGCGGGAUGUGUGUCAGUUUAAGCCUCUGAGAUCACACAGCUGCCUGGGGGCCGUGUGAUGCCCAAGGCAAGUCUUGGCUUUAAUUAUUAUUAUUAUCAUUAUUGUUACGCUUGGCUUUCGGGAAAUACUCGUGAUAUUGUAGGAUAAAGGAAAUGACACUUUGAGGAACUGGAGAGAACAUAUAUGCGUUUUGUUUUUGAGAGGAAAACCGUGUUCUCUUCCCGGCUUGUUCCCUCUUUGCUGAUUUCAGGAGCUACUCUCCUCCUGGUGAGGUGGAAAUUCCAGCAAGAAUAAAGGUGAAGACAAGCCACCAGGACUCAGGAGGGAAACGCUGACCAUUAGAAACCUCUGCAUAAGACGUUGUAAGGAGGAAAAUAAGAGAGAGAAAAACACAAAGAUUUAAACAAGAAACCUACGAACCCAGCUCUGGAGAGAGCCACCUUCUCCAGAAUGGAUAUGUUUCGUCUCGCCUGGGUUUUCUUAGCCCUCUACUUUUCAAGACACCAAGUGAGAGGCCAACCAGACCCACCGUGCGGAGGUCGUUUGAAUUCCAAAGAUGCUGGCUAUAUCACCUCUCCCGGUUACCCCCAGGACUACCCCUCCCACCAGAACUGCGAGUGGAUUGUUUACGCCCCCGAACCCAACCAGAAGAUUGUCCUCAACUUCAACCCUCACUUUGAAAUCGAGAAGCACGACUGCAAGUAAGCACCGUCCUGUCCCACUGGGUAUCCCAUCCAUGAGAUGCACACGCUCUGCCCUCACCCCUGCUCUCGUCACUUCUAUCACCCCUCACCCCAAGACCUGCUGCUAACCACUGGUGGAUCCUGGCCCCAGAGGAAAACCUCAAGGGGCAUUCCCUUUUCAGGGAAAGAAAGGUGUGGCUGAUCCC
rnacentral:sRNA from 1 species